UGGGGAAUAUUGCACAAUGGGCGCAAGCCUGAUGGAGCAACACCGCGUGAGUGAAGAAGGGUUUCGGCUCGUAAAGCUCUGUUGUUAAAGAAGAACACGUAUGAGAGUAACUGUUCAUACGUUGACGGUAUUUAACCAGAAAGUCACGGCUAACUACGUGCCAG
rnacentral:rRNA from 1 species